GCCUACUUCUCCGGCUGAAGCUGAGUCCUGGGAGGAAUCAAGUUAUUAUUUGGCUGUUCAUUGGGCGCGUUUGAAUGUAUAUGUUGUACAACAUUGGGUGCAUUUGAGUGUAUAUACUGUCUAAAAAGAACAUGAGCCGGAAGAGGAUCGUGUCCAGGAGCAGGAUGAGGAAGAGAAGGAUGAGAAUGUGUAUGUGCCUGCUGAUGAGUCCGAGUCUGAGGAAGAAGAGAACU